rnacentral:rRNA from 1 species
UACGGGAGGCAGCAGUGGGGAAUAUUGCACAAUGGGCGCAAGCCUGAUGCAGCCAUGCCGCGUGUAUGAAGAAGGCCUUCGGGUUGUAAAGUACUUUCAGUCGUGAGGAAGGUGUUAAGGUUAAUAACCUUAGCAAUUGACGUUAGCGACAGAAGAAGCACCGGCUAACUCCGUGCCAGCAGCCGCGGUAAUACGGAGGGUGCGAGCGUUAAUCGGAAUUACUGGGCGUAAAGGGCACGCAGGCGGUUAAUUAAGUUGGAUGUGAAAUCCCCGGGCUUAACCUGGGAAUGGCAUUCAAGACUGGUUAGCUAGAGUCUUGUAGAGGGGGGUUAGAAUUCCAUGUGUAGCGGUGAAAUGCGUAGAGAUGUGGAGGAAUACCGGUGGCGAAGGCGGCCCCUGGGACAAAGGCUGACGCUCAUGUGCGAAAGCGUGGGGAGCAAAC